rnacentral:rRNA from 1 species
CCUACGUGAGGCAGCAGUGAGGAAUAUUGGUCAAUGGACGCAAGUCUGAACCAGCCAUACCGCGUGCAGGAAGACGGCUCUAUGAGUUGUAAACUGCUUUUGUACGAGGGUAAACGCAGAUACGCGUAUCUGUCUGAAAGUAUCCUAAGAAAAAGGAUCGGCUAACUCCGUGCCAGCAGCCGCGGUAAUACGGAGGAUUCAAGCGUUAUCCGGAUUUAUUGGGUUUAAAGGGUGCGUAGGCGGUCGGAUAAGUUAUGGGUGAAAUCCCCAGGCUCAACUUCGGAAUUGCCGUUGAUACUGGUCGGCGAGAGUGUGGUUGCGGUAGGCGGAAUGUGUGGUGUAGCGGUGAAAUGCUUAGAGAUCAUGCAGAACACCGAUUGCGAAGGCAGCAUACC